ACUUAAAUAGUUUAAUAAAAAUAUUAAUUUGUGGAAUUGAAGUUAUAAAUUUAUUUUAAGUU
rnacentral:tRNA from 1 species